rnacentral:rRNA from 1 species
UGAGGAAUAUUGCGCAAUGGGGGGCAACCCUGACGCAGCAACGCCGCGUGAGUGAGGAAGGUUUUCGGACCGUAAAGCUCUGUCGAGCGGGAAGAAAUGCAUGGUGGCUAAUAUCCAUCAUGCUUGACGGUACUGCUAAAGGAAGCACCGGCUAACUCCGUGCCAGCAGCCGCGGUAAUACGGGGGGUGCGAGCGUUGUUCGGAAUUAUUGGGCGUAAAGAGCGUGUAGGCGGCCGAAUAAGUCAGAUGUGAAAUCCCUGGGCUUAACCCAGGACGUGCAUUUGAAACUAUUCGGCUAGAGUAGGGGAGAGGAAAGUGGAAUUCCUGGUGUAGAGGUGAAAUUCGUAGAUAUCAGGAGGAACACCGGUGGCGAAGGCGACUUUCUGGCCCUAUACUGACGCUGAGAUGCGAGAGCGUGGGUAGCAAACAG